GACGAACGCUGGCGGCGUGCCUAAUACAUGCAAGUCGAGCGAUACGGCGGACGGGUGAGUAACACGUGGGCAACCUACCUUAUAGUUUGGGAUAACUCCGGGAAACCGGGGCUAAUACCGAAUACUAUAGGAUGGGCCCGCGGCGCAUUAGCUAGUUGGUGAGGUAACGGCUCACCAAGGCGACGAUGCGUAGCCGACCUGAGAGGGUGAUCGGCCACACUGGGACUGAGACACGGCCCAGACUCCUACGUGAGGCAGCAGUAGGGAAUCUUCCACAAUGGGCGAAAGCCUGAUGGAGCAACGCCGCGUGAGUGAAGAAGGAUUUCGGUUCGUAAAACUCUGUUGUAAGGGAAGCGGUACCUUAUUAGAAAGCCACGGCUAACUACGUGCCAGCAGCCGGGUAAUUC
rnacentral:rRNA from 1 species